GGCAGGGGCUGGGCCUGUAGCUGCUCUACCCUUCUCAGGAUCCUCCUUCAGCUUUCCCGACUUCUGAGCCAGACAGGUCUGCUGAGCUCUGUGAUGAAGGAUCCUGACUCCUGCAGGAGACCCAUGCCACCCAAAUCAGAGGCACGGUUUCAGUCCCUCCUCAUGGUCUCCAGCGGGUGGUUUCCAGCUUGUUCUUGUUCACCGCAUCUCUCUGACCCAGCUGCCUGCCCUGCGGACUGCAAGUUCAGCAUCAGACCCGAGGGCAAGAGCCUUACAGAGACUGCGUCAGCAGCUCCCACGGAUGGGUAAGAUCAAAUCCUGGUAAGAAGUCCCUAGUGCUGAUUCCUGUUACGCUGCUUCCUGGAAGGCAGUGCCAUGUGGAACCUCUAAACUACAGCAUUCGGAGCUCCAGGAAGGGAAAAUUUCAAGUCAAAUAGAAUUCUAUACACCAUGUCUUUGGAACCUUCAGCCCUCAAGAUUCCAACAUCAUGACCUCAGUUUCAACACAGUUGUCCUUAGUUCUCAUGUCAUGCCUUUGAUGCUGCCUGUUGUCGAAGCAGUAGAAGCCAACGAUGCAAUCACUCUCUUGAUAGGUGUGGUUCUCAGCAUUACAGGCAUCUAUGCUUGCUUGAAGGUAUAUGCAGAAAAGAGAUAUGGACAGAUGUGACUUUGAAGGGCUUACUGAAUCAAACCUCACCCUGAAAACCUUUGUGCUAUUGAGGCUAAACCUGAGCUUUGGUGUCUGACAGUUUCCAAGAAUCAGUAAAUAAGGGAGUUUUACAUUCUUCAUUGUUUCCAUGAAAUGGGAACAAACAGAUACAUAUAUAAAAAUUUAAAAAAAAGUUUUCUUUACAACAAAUAAUGUGCAGAAAAAAUGCAGCCUAUAAUUUGUAUUUGCUGUUUAGAAAGGAAGCCAAAGAAGUAAGAUGGCUGAAAUUGACACAAGUAAUAUUUCAUAGUUUUAGACUUCUCAAAGCAUGUGAAAUAGGAAGAAGGAAGUUCUUGCCCAGAAUCUUAGGAAACCAUCACUGUUCAGUUAUAAUCGCUGCCUCCUGAUUUGUUGAGGAGUCUUUUCUCCAUAUUUUUAUUAGAUUUUUGUUUUGUUGUCUUUCGAGGUAAUAUUGUAUUUAGAUAUCAGAUAGUCAGCCAAAAAGGGAAACUUCUAUCUCUGGGGAAAAAAAUGUUUAGAAAAAUGUAUUUAAGGGCUAUGCACGGUGGCUCACGCCUGUAAUCCCAGCACUUUGGGAAGCUGAGGCGGGCAGAUCACGAGGUCACGAGAUUGAGAUCAUCCUGGUUAACACGAUGAAACCCCGUCUCUACUAAAAACACACACACACAAAAACAUUAGCCGAGCGUGGUGGCAGGCGCCUGUAGUACCAGCUACACAGAAGGCUGAGGGAGGAGAAUGGCUUGAACCUGGGAGGCGGAGGUUGCAGUGAGCCGGGAUCGUGCCACUGCACUCCAGCCUGGGUAACAGAGCGAGACUCCGUCCCAAAAAAAAAAAGAAAAA
rnacentral:lncRNA from 1 species